rnacentral:tRNA from 1 species
UAUAUUUUAGUAUAAAAUGUACAAAAGUUUUUGAUACUUUAGGUGGUAGUUUAAUUCUAUCAAAUGUAA